UAUAAAGCAGAAACUAACACACCAUUGUAAAGCAAUUAUACUCCAAUAAAGAUGUAAAAAAAACAAUUCCAUUCACAACCAUCAAAUAGAAUAAAAGAGGAAUAAAUUUAAGGAGAUGUAAGACUUGUACAAUGAAAAAUACAACGCAUUAUUGAAAGAAACUAAAGAAGAUCUGAUGAAAUGGAAAGUCAUCUCAUGUUCAAAACAUUUAUGGAUGUAUGUCAAAGGUGCAUAGGAACAAACUGAAAGAGCUUGCAGUGGCCAGAGCUGGAGCUAUUUUAGCAACAAAUUGUGUUGGAUUAUAACUCAAGUGUAGUGUAAACACCCAUGAGUCUACACUGAUUUAAAUUAAUGAUUGAAUAAAUAAACAAAUGCGGGAGAAUAGACAAAUCUCCUGUGCAGAAGAAUUUGAAAUAAUUGAUGUAAAUACUCUAUCCUCAAGGAGAGUGAGCCUAACUCCCUACUCCUUAAGUAUGGGCUGUGCAUAGUGAGUUCCUGCCAAAGCAUACAGCAAAAAAGAAUAAUUUUACAGUGAAGUAAUCUGACUAAACUAUAUCAGCCAGGUUAUCAAGGUCAACAUUAACAGUAUGUACUUUCAUGUUGAAAGUACGUACCCUUGAUAUGAUGUGAUGAAAAUGGCAAUUUACUCUUUUGUCUUCCUUUCCCAAACUUAUGACCUCAGUCUAAUCAUGAAAGAAACAUCAGACAAUUUGCAAUAGAGGGACAUCUUACACAAUACUUGGCCAGUAAUUUUCAAAACUGUCAAGCUUGUCAAAAACGAGGAAAGUCUGAAAAGCAGUCACAGCCAAGUGGAGCCUGAGAGGACAUGACAACUAAAAGUAAUGUGGUUUUCUGUAUGAGAUCCUGGAACUGAAAAAAGGACAUUAGAUUUCCUGGAACAUUCCAGGCCAGCAGAGGAGCUCUUUCCUCCUAGAGAACAACUGCCCCUUGCAGACACCUCAUCUGAGGCUGAUGCUCUCCAGCCAGGAGGAUGGUGUCGAUUGCUGGGAGAUGUCGGACGGUGAAACUGAAGGACAGGACUGUGCUUCCACAGCAAGAAGGCAGAAGGCAGAAG